rnacentral:snoRNA from 1 species
AACCCCUGUCAAUGGACAAAGAGACACCUUGUUGAUGAUGCCAUUCUUACAUCAGUCAGGGGUAGAGCAGAUGACAGUCCUAUGUUCAUCCUGGAACCGAUGCCUGGCUUGGUGACCAAAGCUGUUUUAUGUCUAGGACUCAUCA